AAUUACCAGCAAUAACUAGCACUCUGCUAGUGGGGCGGGGAAGUGCAUGGUCUGCACGUGAACUGCAGUGUCUCCAGAAACACAGAGCUGCUUGUGGACGCAAGUCUGUAAAUAAUGCCGGGAAAGAUUAUCGGUGAAUGCAGCAGCCGUAUAUCGGCCAAUGCGAUACAC